GGCACUGUGGCAGAGUGGUCUAAUGCGCAAGACUCGAAUGAAGUUAUUCAUUAAGUGAUCUUGUUCUUUCGGGAGCAGCGGUUCGAAUCCGCUCAGUGUCG
rfam:Pseudomassariella vexata strain CBS 129021 BCR38scaffold_23, whole genome shotgun sequence.